ACGGUUACACAGGACCUAUUCUAUGGACAUCAAAGCAACACUAUCAUGUCCUCGUGUCAUCGUAAGCCGUUGCCUUCAAUAAGUUACAUUUCCCGAGUUUCAAUAAAAUGAACUUUUCUUUGGGCUCCAAAAAAAUGAACAUGCGAAAACAAUUGUAAACGUAUAGGUAUUCUAACGCUAUAUCUCGUUCUAUUAGAGGAAAUAGAGUUGCCUUUCUAUUGGGAUCCUUGUCGUUCACCAAAUUCCCCUGACACAAAAAAAAAGGUUAAAGAGAAAUAGAACCGGGCAGGGAGAGAGACCUAGAGAAGUCAAACAGGCAAACAACCGAACGAGCGUUCAAAGAAACAACACCAAAACAAUUUAGCGGAUGAGCUCCGCGACAUUCAUAUUGCCGCUGGCUUCAUUCGGCCGAGCCUGGUUUGUUGGAAAGGGGCGUGGCCGGUUUCUGACAGGAAGGCAAGUUUCGAUCGGCAACUCGCCAUCAACAGUUGGUGAGUCAAGUCAGUCAAGUCUUGGACGGUCGUGAGCGUGAGCCGAGAGAAGAUGGUGUUGACUUGUAUAAUCCUAGACAGGUGCAAAUUGAUAGGGCGGGGCUGUUACGGGACCGUUUACCAAGGGACGUGGAUGAAUAGAAAAGUGGCCGUCAAGCGAAUUCAAAUCGAAAACGUUCAAAACAACAAAGGGGGAGAAGAAGCUCUGCAAAAGUUAAAUCACCCCAAUGUCGUAAACCUUUAUCACGUUGAAAGCGACUGAACAGUGAUUUCAGAUAUUACGCAUUGGAACUGUGCCAAUUAUCACUGAAUCAACUAUUCAACGGCGACGAGGCCCAGAAAAACUAUAGCGAGAUGAUGCCGCCAGAACAAGAAGUUUGCCUCCAGUUGGCAAAGGGAUUGGCGCACAUUCACGAAAAUGGAUUCAUCUACUGGGAUAUUAAACCCCAAAAUGUUUUCAUUUCUGUCCAUCCAAUUGAUGGAGGAAAUGUGUCGAUGAAAUGGGCCGAUUUCGGACUCAGUUCGCCACUCAACGACAGGGGAAGUUUCUCGACGACCGAGCUCAACACACGACCCGAUAAUUGGCUGGCCCCUGAAAAUCUUGCAGAUGAAGGAGAAUUUCAAUCGAACAACACCCCUUCGUCAAGAAGGAACCGUUAAAAGUGACGUCUUUUCCGCCGGUCUCAUUUUCGGCUUUUAUCUUUUGAAGGGACGUCACCCCUACGGCUGACAAUUCAAUAUCCCCGCCGACAUUGUCAAUGACAAGCCAGUCAAUCUGAAAGCCAUAGAAGAGCAAAAACAUCCCAUGCUACGCGCUAUCAUCAUGGACAUGUUGAAGAAAAACCCCAACGACAGGAUUUCAUCGGCCGACGUCAUAACAAGAAUCGCCAACAUUUCAUAGCAUAAACAAACAAAAACGAUCUGACUCGUAUUAAAUCAAUUACGACAGGCCAAAAACAAAAAAAAUAAAUCUGCGUUGCUGCGACAAUCGAAAUCAAAUUUCCACAAUUUGCUCCAAAUGACUAAGAAAAUUCAUUUGAUUCCUCCACAUUAUCUGUAUUGAAAAAGGACGUAUGCGGACGUAGUCUAUGUGACGCGCCCCCAUUUUCUAUUUCCUGCGGAUGGUGACGAUAAUAAAAUGUUUAAGUGACAUUUAUCUCACUCAGA
rnacentral:lncRNA from 1 species